GUCGCCGGCGUUUGGCGCCCGCGCAGCCUAGGCCGCUCGCGCCGGAGAGGAAGUCCGGCCGCGGCGGGGCUGGGCCGGCUCGGGGCCUGGCUCCGUCGGGGAGCGCUCCACCCCCCCACCCGCGCGCCGGAUCCCAGGGUGUUGUUCCUCAGAAUGGGAGAAGAUACUUGCCAAUGAAGCAACUGACAAAGGAUUAAUCUCCAAAAUAUAUAAGCAGCUCAUGCAGCUUAAUACCAAAAGAGCAAAUAACCCAAUCCACAAAUGGGCGGAAGGCCUAAAUAGGCAUUUCUCCAAAGAAGACAUGCAGAUGGCUAACAAACACAUGAAAAGAUGCUCAGCAUCACUAAUCAUUAGGAAAAUGCAAGUCAAAGCCACAGUGAGGUAUCACCUCACAAAGGUCAGAAUGGCCAUCAUCAAAAAAUCUAGAAACAACAAAUGUUGGAGAGGGUAUGGAGAAAAGGGAACUCUCCUGCACUGUUGGUGGGAAUGUAAGUUGGUACAGCCACUGUGGAAAACAGUAUGGAGGUUCCUUAAAAAACUAAAAGUGGAACUACCAUGUGAUCCAGUAAUCCCAUUCCUGGGCAUAUACCCAGAGAAAACCAUAAUUCAAAAAGAAACGUACCAUAAUGUUCAUUGCAGCACUAUUUACAAUAGCCAGGACAUGGAAGCAACCUAAAUGCCUAUCAACAGAUGAAUGGAUAAGGAAGAUGUGGCACAUAUAUACAAUGAAAUAUUACUCAGCCAUAAAAAGGAAUGAAAUUGAGCUAUAUGUAAUGAGGUGGAUAGACCUAGAGUCUGUCAUACAGAGCGAAGUGAGCCAGAAAGAGAAAAACAAAUAUUGUAUAUUAACACAUAUGCGGACUAUAGAAAAAUGGUACAAAUCAACCAGUUUACAGGGCAGAAAUAGAGACAGAUGUAGAGAACAAACAUAUGGACACCAAGUGUGGAAAGCAGGGAGGGUUGGGGGGGAAUGAGUUGGGAGAUUGGGAUACCAAAUAGUACACUCCAAAUAUAUGCAGUUUAUUGUCUGUUAACUGUAUCUCAAUAAAAGUUCUUAAAAAAUAAAAAAACCCAACAAAUACCGUAUGCUAACUCAUAUAUGGAAUCUAAAAAAAUGGUACUGAUGAACUCAGUGACAGGUUAAGAAUAAAGAUGCAGUUGCAGAGAAUGGACUGGAGGACACAGGGUUGGGGGUGGGGCCAAGGGGAAGCUGGGACGAAGUGAGAGAGUAGCUUUGACAUGUAUACACCACCAACUGUAAAAUAGAUAGCUAGUGGGAAGUUGCUGUAUAACAAAGGGAGAUCAACCUGAUGAUGGUGAUGCCUUAGAGGGCCAGGACAGGGAGGGUAGGAGGGAGCCGCGGGAGGGAGGAGAUAUGGGGAUAUAUGUAUAAAUACAGCUGAUUCGCUUUGGUGUACCUCAAAAACUGGUACAAGAGUGUAAAGCAAUUAUAUACCAAUAAAGAGCUUUAAAAAAAUAAAAUAGUGUUGUUAUUGGAAGCAAAUGAGAUAAUACAUGGGAAGCACCUACAUUAGUACCUGAUACAUAGUGAGCUUUCAUUACAUGGUCUUCAUUGUUAUGCCCCAGUAUAAGGUUUAUAUUCUGUUUGCUACCUGCUAAAAUUUUUAGAAAGCUAUUUAUGGACAUCCCUAGUGGCACAGUGAUUAAGAAUCCAUCUGCCAAUGCAGGGGACACAGGUUUGAGCCCUAGUUUGGGAAGAUCCCACAUGCCAUGGAGCAACAAAGCCUGGGUGUCACAACUACUGAGCCCACGUGCUGCAACUACUGAAGUCCGCAAGCCUAGAGCCCGUGCUUCACAAGAGAAGCCACCACACUGAGAAGCCUGAGCACCACAGCGAAGAGUAGCCCCCGGACUCCACAACUAGAGAAAGCCCGCACACAGCAAUGAAGACUCCAAAAUUUAUUUUAAAAGAAAGCUGUGUUAAAAAAACAACUAUAUAGAUGUGUGAGUAUAGGCAUAGCAAAAAGUGAAUUAAAAAUGUAUCAAAAUGUUAAAACUAUCUUUUGUUGGUGGAGUAAUAGACUGUUUUUCUCUUCUUUCUUACAAGGUUCAGUAUUUUAUAAAUAUUUUACACAAAGAAUGUGUUAUUAUUAAAUGUAAGCUCCAUAAAGACUGAUAUAUUUUUUGUUGUUAUGUAUUUGAAGUGCCCAGAAUAGUCUUACAUAUAGUAGAUGCUUAAUAAAUAAUUUUAAAUGAAUCUUUAUAAUGUAAAAAAUAAAAUGAAAAGGAAUAAAUGUAUUAAAAUUCCAUUUCUUGCC